CAGUCGCCACGGUAAUACGAAGGGUGCAAGCGUUAAUCGGAAUUACUGGGCGUAAAGCGUGCAUAGGCGGUUUGUUAAGUCUGUUGUGAAAUCCCCGGGCUCAACCUGGGAAUGGCAAUGGAUACUGGCAAGCUAGAGUGUGUCAGAGGAUGGUGGAAUUCCCGGUGUAGCGGUGAAAUGCGUAGAGAUCGGGAGGAACAUCAGUGGCGAAGGCGGCUCACUGGUCCAUUACUGACGCUGAGGUGCGAAAGCGUGGGGAGCAAACAGGAUUAGAGACCCGCGUAGUCCCUGUCUCUUAUAC
rnacentral:rRNA from 1 species